AUGGUGUUACUAAAAGCUAUCUUAUCAUUGGGCGACCUGGACAAAAUAUCAAUUUAAAUCUUGACUCUCAGUAUGCCAUUGAAACUUCUGAAAAAUGCAAUGAUCCGCUGGCGACAGGUGCUGUUUGUCGGUUCGAUUAUCUAGAGCUUCACGAAGUAAGAUAUUGUGGAGGGAUACCACCAGACUCCGUACUAAUACCAACAGGUGACAACACCACUGUACGAUUUAAAUCAGAUGGGAGCAACGCAUGCAUUGGUUUUAAACUAAGCAUUAGCUACACAAAUGAUUGAUGUUAUUUAUUGAGUUCUACUGAUUAUACUAACAAAGGUCCUGGUGAUGUUUAAUAUGUCAUUUGAGCUUCAUUUGCCGCAUUUUAAACUAUGAUACGUAUUCUUUUCUUUUGGUUUGAGUUACCUUAUCUUGGUUGAAAUACGUUAUAGUAUUCUAUUGUUUUUUCCUACUGUCAAGCUGUGUCCUGAUUUUCUUACUUAUUAUGUCCUGACAGCCUAUACUAAUAAACUCAACCAUUAUCCACUUCGGAUGCCUUUCUGAGGGAAUAUGCAUUUAUAUAAGCCCCAGCUAACUUUGCAGAUCCCCGAUUUCUGUAUAUCUAUAUUUCUGUAUAAACAUGAAUUGAAUGAAUAGUGUUAGGAAAAAUAUAACUGAGUCGUGUAAUAUUUGUUCAUAUAAGUAAAGACGUAUAUAAGUAAGAUAAUUGCUGUAAUGGAAAUAUCCAUUUGUAUGUAAAUUUAUUUUAAAACAAAACUAAACCCAUUUCGGCAUUGGCCAAUAACUGUUUGUCUUCGGAGAAAUUAUCAGUGAGCAGAAAUUCGCCGGUGUAUCUGUUAUCGCUCUUUACUUCGAUCGAGGGGGGUGGGGGUGGAUAGCUGAAUGGUUAGCACGUGCGCGCUGUAUCAUAAAGUCUGUC